rnacentral:lncRNA from 1 species
ACUGGACAGACAUCACCUCUGGCCAGCACAUGCAGAAGAGACAGGUCGUAACCCCCAGCCGGCAGGUGCAGAAGGGACAGGUCAUAAUCCUUGUCUGGCAGGUACAGAAAGGACAGGUCAUAAUCCCUGGCUGGCAGGUGCAGAAGGGACAGGCGUCACCCCCACCAGCAGGUGCAGAGGUGCCGUUGCAGCAGUUGGAUGUGAGGCCAAGAAGCAGAAGCUAAGGGAGGGGGUCUGGGGCAUCCCUGGAGCUCAGAAGCCAAGGCCCGUGCCUGCCCCAGGGCUGGUGCCAUACAUAGUUCCAGGUACUGGGGACGGAGGGUAGCCGAUGGGGCCCUGAGCAGGACGUGCCUCUUCUGGACUUGACCACAGAACCCAAGCAUGGUUCAAGCGAUUCUCCUGCUUCAGCCUCCUGAGUAGUUGGGAUUACAGAUGCCCGCCACCGCACCCAGUCACAGAUGGACUCUGAGAGAGAAAAUAGCACCCCUGUCCAAACAUCACAUGCCUGGCGGAGGAACGCAGCCUGGCCUGUGCAGCCGAAUGUUGGAGAGUGCACCUUCCUCUCUUAUUUUGUUUUAUUUCCAGGGAAAGGGAAAGGAAGACAUGCAGUCUCAUUGAAGUCCUUGGGUCACUUUACCCCUGCCCUUGGGUUGAUGGACGAUCAGAUGUCUUCCUUCUCAUGCUGGCUGAGACAUCAAACACCAGAGUGGACUUACUUGGCUCCAGUGCUGGUGAUGGGCACUUCUGGGUGAAUGGAAUCUGGGGUGUACUAGCAAAUUUGCUGGUUCUUAGUGCAGGAUCAUUUGAAAAUUUAUUAUUCUGCCAAAUUGAUCAAAUCACUUUGAACAAUUUAUGCAUGUACUUCAUUACACAAUAGUUUCCAUUUCUGCACAUUCUAACACCUAUUAAUUUUUGCAAAUACUAUAGCCAUAAUAUAACAUCACAUUGUUAUUUUUGAUUUAUGUUUAACUGAAUUCAGGUAAUUUUGUACUGGUGUUCAGAAGAUUGACUUUAGGUUUUCUUACUUGCAAAUUACCUUUUCAUGUGUGUUGCCCAUGUUUUAAUGGGUUGACCUUUUUUAUUGAUGUUACUAUGGACUGAACUGCAUCCCUGCGAGAUUCAUAUGUUAAAGCUCGAGCUCCCAGUACCUCACAAUGGGACUGUAUUUGGAGAUAGGGCCUUUAAACAGGUAACUAAGUGAAAAUGAGGUCAUAAGGGUGGGCCCUGGUCCAAUGUGGUUGGUGUCCUUAUAAGAAGAGGAAAUGAGGACACAGACACACACACAGGAAUGACUGCAUGAGACACAGGAAGAGGCCCCAUCUACAAGCCAAGGAGAGCCUCAGGAGGGUCCAGGAAUGACUAAAUUGUCAUCUCAGACUUGUAGCUUCCAGCACUGUGAGAAAAUAAGUUUCUGUUUUUCCAUUAAAAAUUCUGAUUAUUAUUGUUGAAAAUGAGCACAAUGGCUUUUUAAAAAAAAAAUGUUGGUAUUCUAUCUGACCAUCUGAGUGAAAGCUCUUAUUAGUGUUAGAGUUUUUUUCAGAUUUCUUUGAAUUUUCUGUAUAAAAAUAUUGUCAGUAAUACAAAAUAUAUUAUCUUUUCCCAUACAGUUCUGAAUUCUCUGUUAUUUUUUAUCUUAAUGUGGCUAAUAGAAAAUAAAGUGCAAUGCUUUACAAGUGAGGGGACACCUUCCUCCUUGUCUGAUUACUAAGCUUAGUAGAAUGUUAGCAUGAUGUUUGUUUCAAAAAUUUAGAAGAUAAUCUUUAUCUAAUUAGUGUUUCUGAAAUGUAAUGUUUUUCUCACUUUAAAUUUUCUAGUACUAUCUAUUACAUAGGUAUGAGUAUUGUAUAUUAAACUGAUCUUAUGUUACAUUAAAAAAAUCAUACAAUAUUUUCAAUAAUUUGCUGGCUUUGAUUAUCUAAAAUGAUUGUCUCUCAAUUCAGGUUUUCUAGUUCCUCCAUAAUGGUUUCUCCAGUAUCACAUUCUGAAUGAAAACAUAUCUAGUGGUUUCCCAUUAAAUAUGAUGCUGGCUUUAGGAGAAAUAUAAUUAUGUUAAACAUAUUUGCAUAUAUUACAUUACAUAUAUUUAUGUAUUUAUAUUUACUAUAUAUAGUUUUACAUAUUUAUAGAUAACUAUAGAACUAUA